GUCCACGCCGUAAACGAUGGAUACUAGCUGUUGGGCGCAAGUUCAGUGGCUAAGCGAAAGUGAUAAGUAUCCCACCUUGGGAGUACGUUCGCAAGAAUGAAACUCAAAGGAAUUGACGGGGGCCCGCACAAGCGGUGGAGCAUGUGGUUUAAUUCGAUGAUACGCGAGGAACCUUACCAAGGCUUAAAUGUAGACUGACCGGUUUGGAAACAGACCUUUCGCAAGACAGUUUACAAGGUGCUGCAUGGUUGUCGU
rnacentral:rRNA from 1 species